GUGUCAGCCGCCGCGGUAAUACGGGGGGGGCAAGCGUUGUUCGGAAUUACUGGGCGUAAAGGGCGCGUAGGCGGCUCGCUAAGUUGGAUGUGAAAACUCUGGGCUUAACCCAGAGCCUGCAUUCAAAACUGACGGGCUAGAGUUCUGGAGGGGAUAGCGGAAUUCCUGGUGUAGCGGUGAAAUGCGUAGAUAUCAGGAGGAACACCGGUGGCGAAGGCGGCUAUCUGGACAGAAACUGACGCUGAGGCGCGAAAGCUAGGGGAGCAAACAGGAUUAGAAACCCUUGUAGUCC
rnacentral:rRNA from 1 species